rnacentral:lncRNA from 1 species
AUUAACCUUCACAACAACAAAAAUCAUUAUAUUCUCCAAAUUCUCCAAGACAGUGACUUCCUUUUAUAAUUGAAAUUUUAAGAAUGAAAUAAGGGACUAGGGUAAGGCACGAGAAACAGAAACUAAACCAACUUUCAAACUUGAGGAUAAUACCUCUACAAUAUCCAUGAGCUACUCAAUAUAGCAAAGAUAAUUCCUACGAACGCAGCUAAAUCAAAAUAUCACGAAAAGAUUCGACAAAUCUCAAAUAGGAAAUCAACUAUUGAACUAAAGGCUAAUACCAUUCUCCAAAUCAUAUUGAAAAUUAAUGCUGAAAUAGAAGUAAGAAGGGGAAGAACGAACCUGUUAAGACCAAAAAUUCUUUAAGGUUUUGAGAAUCAAUAGAUACAAACUCCAAUCCACGAAAUCUGUCCGAGAAAACAGCAGCGAAAUCGGACAGGAAUCGCGAAGUUAAACCUUGAGCAGCACCUCACGCACGUCAGCUCAAAACAGAUCUCGCACGAAAUCCAUUUAUGAAAUCAGAAUCGAAUAGGAAGAGAAACUCAAGCUACUUUGGCAUUUUUUUUCUUCUGAAAUCUGAGCCAACCUCAAAUUAAACUUGAAAAUCAAAAACGAGGAAAAGAAGAAGAAAACUUUUUUUGAAAAUCGAAGAUUUGAAGAUGAAGAUCAAAGGUGGCUAGGGCUGUUCAUUCUCUCUUGUUGAGGCUGUGUGUGAGUGAAAGAAGAAGGAGAUACCUCAGGGAGGGAGUUCUUCUGCCCGUGUAUAUCUAGGGUAUAUUGAGUGUAUAUAGAAUGUAUACUCUGUAUGCGUUUUUGGGAGGGUGGGUGUGUUUUCCAGCUCCUUUUCGUUCCUUUUUCCUUUCCAGCCUUUUCC